rnacentral:tRNA from 1 species
GGCAGUUAGUCCAAAACAAGACCCUUGAUUUCGGCUCAAAAGACCAUGGUUUAAG